GCGAGCGUAGUUCAGUCGGUAGAACGGCAGCCCUCCAAGCUGCGCGUCGCCGGUUCGAUUCCGGCCGCUCGCUCCA
rnacentral:tRNA from 1 species